rnacentral:lncRNA from 1 species
GCACACUGCGUCAGCCGGACUUGCUCUGCAGCUGGGUUCUUUGGAGGCCCCCACUCCGCGGCUACUGAAGCGGAUGAGUCUACACCUGGAUCUCCCGAGGGCAUCUCCUAAUUCCUUGAUAUCCCGGGGCCUAGCACACGAUGGAUACUCAGCACUUCUAAGCUGAGUUACUGCAUCUUCCUUUGCAAGGUCUCACGCAGUCCCCCAUCGUCCUCUCUUUGUCUUGGUGCCCACCACCUCCUUCACCACCAUGCAGACCCUCCCCACCCCUCACCACAGCACUGCCUCGGUCAUCAACCCCGCUUCCCGCCUUUCAUCACUGCUACUGUCAGGCUGAAGAGUCACAGGAGGUUCCUCACUGUAAAGAAUGGAUUCUGCGCUCCUUAGAUUAGCAUUCCGAGAUGUCCAGGUGCAGCCCUACACC